AAAAAAAAAGAAACUCAGUUUUCAGCAAAAUUUAAAGGAAACAGAAAGGAUCCGGGACUUACUGGGCUCAAAAAAUACAACUAUGUUUCCAUAGUGUCUCCCAGAAGAAUGUUCUAAAACUAAGAAAGGGCCUAGACCAAAGGUCCAAUUGAGGGUGUUGCCAGAAAGGAUAAUGACAGAGCCAGGCCAAGCACAGAGCUCUGUUUAAGAGCUCAGGCUUUGGAGACAGAAGUGCUUGAGUUCAGAUUCCAGCUCUGAUGCUUAUUAGCUGUAUGCCUCCUGGCAAGUAACUGAUCUCUCAACUUCGUCAUCUGGGAAAAGAAGACCAUCUCUUCUGCAGUAAUGUCUUAGAGAUGAGUACAGGAGCUGCGAUGACCACCCAAGCCUGGCCCUUCCAGUGACCAAAGGAGCCUGCAUAGCCUGGUGAGCAAUUUGAAACAAUCCUUGGCCUGAGUCCUUUCCUGGGCAUACGCUGUUCCUGUGAACACGGUCUCCAACACGGCACACCCACUCCUCUACAAUAAUCCCACCUGCAGAGUCCCGGGCUCACCUGCUGCAGUUUGGGCGUGAGGAUUUAAAAGACAGAAGCAUAAAAAUAAUUAUAAACAUAUGUUAAUGGCUAUGCAAUAUAUGGAGAUGUGAUUUGUGGCAUCAAUAAUAUGAGGAGAUAGAGCCCUGAAGGAGUAGCAGAGUUUUGUAUGCAA